rnacentral:rRNA from 1 species
AUUGAACGCUGGCGGCAGGCCUAACACAUGCAAGUCGAACGAGUGGCGGACGGGUGAGUAAUGCGUGGGAAUCUGCCUGAUGGAGGGGGAUCACUACUGGAAACGGUAGCUAAUACCGCAUACCAUCAGAUGCGCCCAGAUGGGAUUCGCUUGUUGGUGGGGUAACGGCUCACCAAGGCGACGAUCACUAGCUGGUCUGAGAGGAUGACCAGCCACACUGGGACUGAGACACGGUCCAGACUCCUACGGGAGGCAGCAGUGGGGAAUAUUGCACAAUGGGCGCAAGCCUGAUGCAGCCAUGCCGCGUGUAUGAAGAAGGCCUUCGGGUUGGAAAGUACUUUCAGCGGGGAGGCGUUACCCGCAGAAGAAGCACCGGCUAACUCCGUGCCAGCAGCCGCGGUAAUUC